rnacentral:pre_miRNA from 1 species
AGUAGACUUGCUGGAUCAUAUGAUAAUUCUGUUUAAUUUUUUGAAGAACCACCAUGCUGUUUUUCAUAGUGACUGUAACAUUUUACAUUUUACUGGCAAU